AGAGUUUGAUCCUGGCUCAGGAUGAACGCUAGCGGCAGGCCUAAUACAUGCAAGUCGGACGGCAGUGGGACCAGCAAUGGAACCAUGAGAGUGGCGCACGGGUGCGUAACGCGUAUGCAACCUGGCUCAUACAGGGGGAUAGCCCGGGGAAACCCGGAUUAAUACCCCAUGGCAUAAUGGAUUCGCAUGGGUUUAUUAUUAAAGAUUUAUCGGUAUGAGAUGGGCAUGCGUAGGAUUAGCUAGUUGGCGGGGUAACGGCCCACCAAGGCGAUGAUCCUUAGGGGUUCUGAGAGGAAGGUCCCCCACACUGGCACUGAGAUACGGGCCAGACUCCUACGGGAGGCAGCAGUAGGGAAUAUUGGGCAAUGGGCGGAAGCCUGACCCAGCCAUGCCGCGUGCAGGAAGACGGCGUUAUGCGUUGUAAACUGCUUUUGUACGGGAAGAAAACGCCACUGCGGUGGAACUUGCCGGUACCGUACGAAUAAGCACCGGCUAACUCCGUGCCAGCAGCCGCGGUAAUACGGAGGGUGCGAGCGUUGUCCGGAUUUAUUGGGUUUAAAGGGUGCGUAGGCGG
rnacentral:rRNA from 1 species